AGCAUAAUUGCUGGAUCAUAUGGUGAGAGUAUGUUUAGUUUUGUAAGAAACUGUCAUGCUGUCUUCCAAAGUGACUAUACUAUUUGCAUUCCCACCAGCAAU
rnacentral:pre_miRNA from 1 species